rnacentral:ncRNA from 20 species
UUUAAUCUUCAGGGCAGGGUGAAAUUCCCGAUCGGUGGUAAAGUCCGCGAGCCGAACUUCGAUUAACAUCAAGUUUAGCAGGAACUAGUGAAAUUCUAGUACCGACAGUAUAGUCUGGAUGGAAGAAGAGCAGA